UGAUUUAGAUCUGAUUUCUGUCUUUAGAGCUCAAUAAAGUGACAUUCGUGCAGUUUUAACUGUUUGUUGUCUGAAGGUUAAAGACGAGAAUGAUGAUAAAAGGACGUAUGAGACGAUCAACAUGGACACUCCUGCUGCUGCGAGAGAGCAUGAGCGGACAGAUGAUGUGACUUACUCUGAAGUCUCCUCUACCAGUAAAAAGCCUGUGAAAUCACUCAAAGAUCAUAAUGACACAGUGACUUACGCUGCCAUCAGAUGAACAGAAUAUGAAGCACAGGAUGAACUUUACAAGAACAAGAGCUUCACAAAUAGACAUUCAUUAAGCAGAUCACUGCAUGAGCUCCUCGUAUCAGCAGCAGACGAGACGUUUUCCACGACUGCUGAGAUUCAGGGCUCUGCUGUUUGGAAGAAUUAGACAUGUGUAUGUCUACGAACAGAACUUUUAUGUCAGAUAGUUGUUGAAUUC